UAUAGCAGCAUUACUCAUCGUCAACACCUAGAAACAACCUUAAUAUCCUUCUACAGGUGAAUUGAUAAAUUGUAGUGUUGCUGCUACAGUGGAUGCUCAAGAGAUAGAAAGCAACGAGCUACUGACGCAUGCAACACUAUGGAUGAUCCUCAACGCAGCUAAGUGAAGGAAGCCAGUCUCAAAAGGUUAGGAAACAUGUUGAUAUGAAGAUACAUGUUUAAUAGAUGUACUGGGACAAGAACAGAUCUCUCUCCUGACUGCUUCCCUGUUGUAACCUGCGUUUCUCUUGUUGAUGACAACUGACCCUAUUGAAGCCAGAGGUUACUUUCUCCCGUGUGCACAGAAACCCAAAACCCAGAGCACCCAGCGCCCGCUCAGGAGGCCACGCACAGCACCAGGGAAAUUCCACCCCGAUUCAAACCUUACCAAGCCAAUGCUUUCAAAUGAAAAAAUGGCUGUUCCGAAGAAGAGAGAGUAGGUCUUCCAACUUGUUACCAGUGGCAAUUGGCUGGGGUCUGGAAUACCCUAUAGGAAAGAGAUAUGAGGAGUCAGGUGUGUGGUGUGCACUAACCUUGGCAAUGUACUGGGCGAUGAUGAUCAAGCUGACCAGCAUGCUGAUGUUGGCCAACAUAGAGAAGAUGGACAGGACCCUGAGGUU